ensembl:ncRNA T14F9.16 ncRNA
CAGUCGAGAGAGGCGCGUGCCAUUUGAACUGAUAACCUAUCGUGGCAGGCACCAACCGGCUGCCAACUAAGACACCGAAUACUGUUAUUUGGAUGAGGUGCGCGAG